GCUGGACGGCCUUUAAGUCUUGAGCUGCUAGGGCUCGCGUACUGCGUGUAUGUGUGCUUGUGGCAGAGGUGGCGGGGGUGGGGUGGGAAGGGUGACAGGAUGGAGAGACAGAGAGAGAGAGACAGAGAUCAGACAGGAGAUGAGGGGGGACGCAGUGCAGUAAGGGCAGGUGGGCGGACCCAAAUUUCUUGCGCUUUACAGUUUUACAGAGGUCCAAAUCCUGCAUCUAGCCCUGUAGCAAGCGGGUGGGGAGAGGAGGAAAGGGGAGGGGCUGCACUCCAUCGGUGCUUGCCCAGCCUCGACUGCCUGACGGAUCACCUUACGCUCCAACAUGGCCAGUUCCCCCUCGCCAUGACUCAAACCUAUUGUGCCAGGCAGGGCGCCCUCGGCCCCGCAGCCCCACAGGUGGUAUCGGUUCCUUGAGACGGUUCCCGUCAGGCUAGGCAGUGGAGCGCCGCACAGCGCGCCUUCCCACCUCCCAGUUGCAGCCCCAGCAAUUUCGACCCAGCGCCAGCAGGCCUGCUUGGUCGAUCUUCGAGCCGAAGAUGCGGCGAGGCUGGAAGAUGGCUCUGUCCGGGGGCCUGCGGUGCUGCCGCCGUGUACUUUCCUGGGUGCCAGUGCUCGUAAUCAUCCUCGUCGUGCUCUGGUCCUACUAUGCCUACGUCUUUGAACUCUGCCUGGUGACUGUUUUGAGCCCAGCAGAAAAAGUUAUCUACCUCAUAUUCUACCAUGCCAUCUUUGUGUUCUUUACCUGGACGUACUGGAAGUCUAUUUUCACACUCCCACAACAACCAAACCAGAAGUUUCACUUGUCCUAUACAGACAAGGAGCGCUAUGAAAAUGAAGAGAGACCUGAAGUCCAGAAGCAAAUUCUCGUUGAUAUGGCCAAGAAGCUGCCAGUUUACACAAGAACUGGGAGUGGAGCUGUAAGAUUCUGUGACCGGUGCCAUUUGAUCAAGCCAGAUCGCUGCCACCACUGUUCUGUCUGUGCCAUGUGUGUAUUAAAAAUGGACCAUCACUGCCCUUGGGUUAAUAACUGCAUUGGAUUUUCCAACUACAAAUUCUUCCUUCAGUUCUUAGCUUAUUCUGUUCUCUACUGCCUGUACAUUGCUACAACAGUCUUCAGCUAUUUCAUCAAAUACUGGAGAGGGGAAUUGCCCAGUGUUCGCUCUAAGUUCCAUGUCCUUUUUCUCCUCUUUGUGGCCUGCAUGUUUUUUGUCAGCCUUGUGAUUCUCUUUGGUUACCAUUGUUGGCUUGUCAGCAGAAACAAAACCACCUUAGAGGCCUUCUGUACUCCAGUGUUUACAAGUGGCCCAGUGAAAAAUGGGUUCAACCUUGGCUUCAUCAAAAAUAUCCAGCAGGUGUUUGGAGAUAACAAGAAGUUCUGGUUAAUACCUAUUGGUUCCAGCCCUGGUGAUGGACACUCCUUCCCUAUAAGGUCUAUGAGUGAGUCUCAGAACCCACUGCUAGCAAAUGAAGAGCCCUGGGAGGACAAUGAGGAUGACAACCGAGAUUAUCCAGAAGGUUCAUCUCUUGCUGUGGAAACGGAAGCAUAGCAGUUUUCACAUUUUUACUUCUCUCAGACAGUGCCAGCCCCUAACAAUUCCUGGCACAUGGACCCUCUGUCUCCCAUGAGGCUUACAGAGUUCAUUGCUGGGAACCAUUCUGAUCACCAAAAUAAAUCACCAUGGUGGAUUGAAAGCUUCACAGUUUGAAAACAUUCCAUCUAAUACUUGCUGUGCAGAUAGAUGUUUCAGGACUGUAAAAGUUAUUUAAUUUACUGACUGAAUUCAUCAAUCUGGUAGUGAUUAAUUCAAGCCAGUCUUCCUCUCUUUCUUUAUUUCCCCCUCCCCAAUCUGUGAAACCCUAAAUAUAACAUAUAUAUCUUUCCAAAAGUUCUUUUCAUUCCUCUUGUCAAGUAAAGGGGAAUUCAAAAGACUUCCUGGAGUCUUUAACUCCCCUUGAAAAACUAUUAAUUACAUCUAUACAGUCUUUGUGGUAUUGAUGGGAAUCAGUGUCCUGUGUAUUUAUAAGCAUGUAUAUGUGCAGCAUACUUACACUAAAUUCUGCUGUGGUGUAAAAAUCAGGGUUAAAACAAUUUGAGAUUUUUAUUUGAUCAUGCUUUUCCCUAAAUAACAAUUUAAAUACUUGCUGAGCUGUGAACACCAUCCUGUAUCAGACACCUAAAUUCAAGAGAAAGAUUCAACACACUGUGACCAAGGUCCUAAAAUUGGGAAUUGAAAAACAAUGUAGAUUCUGUUCUCUGUCAUAGAUGUAUGAUGUUCCUGAAAGCACCACAGCUAAUAGAGAAGAUCAGAUCAGAUUUCCACUUUAUUAAACAUAUGGAUUGUUGUUUUAAAGACUUUUAAUGCUAGGCUACAGUAAAAUUCUUCAAUUACUUUUAUUAUUUUCUCUACUACCUAGCUUUAUUUUAGCCUUGAUUAAUUAUUCUUAUGAUGAAUGAAAAAUUAUAAGCCUAAGUUAUUGCCCAAAGGGUUUUUUAAGGGGCUUAAGGAUGAUUUUCAGGUUUAAUUGCAAUACUGUUCAUAAGGUUAAAGUUUCACAGUUGAAAUUAGCCUAAAGAUUAGCACUGAAGAUCUGUGUUUUCAGAGCAGGGGUUAAUGUACAAAUAGUGAUAACCUAUUAGUAAUAUGCCAGUCCUUUCCUUUUUUCUUUUUUUUAUAGCUUCAGUGAUAGCUCAGCUGUUAUGAUAAUUUACAUCUGUUUAUGCAUUUAUUUAUAAUCAGUAUUUCUUUUAGUCCUACUGUCUGAAUCAAUAAGAUGGACACUAAUGCUGCUUCUUUAUAAUAAUACAUAAGAGUACUGAUGGCUUUUAUUUCUCAGCCAGUGCUAUAGUGCCCAGCUGCUGACAAUAGAAGUCUCAAUUCUGUUACAGAGAUCAGUGAGAGUUAGUGGCAUGUUACAGAUAUCAAGGAGUUGAGCUCCUAUAGGGAAGUUAGGUUUACUAAAUCAUCUCCCCUAAAACCUUUUUGAGUAAAGAGUUGCCUGCCAUAAAUAAUUCAAUGUUCAGGAGCUGAGAAAGAGAGCAAUCUAGCUACUUAAAGCAGCAAAAAAAUCUGUUUCUUCAUAUCCUCUAGGUAAUCUUGAUCAAGGUAAGACAUUCAGAAUAAAUUAAACAGAUUAUGUCCAGCAUUUCAUUUGAGAGAAUACUAGACAUGACUGAAUCUGCUGGGGCCAAGGACUGUUUCUCAAACUAAGAUGCUAAGAAGCAGCCUUGAAGUCUAUGGACACUGAGUUUCACAAUGAAAUCAUGUAUGUGUAGAUGGGAAGAUUUUCCCCUUCCCCUCUCCCUCCAAAAUACUCUCUUGUUCAGGUUUCUCUAGAAAGCUUGUUUAGUUUCCACAUGGUCUUAUGAUGGACAGACUUUGCCUUCUACUUAUGUAGAAAUGCACCUUUCUUUAAAGAUAGGGCCACACUUACUUGACAGCAAAGUAGACCUCAAAGCAAUCUUUCCCUUUCCCACAUCUCAUUUCCUGCCAAGGGUAUAGGCAGAAUAGCUGCUAACUAUGAUUCAAAGUCAGGAAGGAAUCUUUGAUGCAUAGAGUAUAUAAGCACUUAACAAUCAUAGAAAUCAGGUCAUAAAAGACAGUGUCAGGAAAGGACAGGGCAGCACUGGAAGCUACAAAGCAAAGCUGAUUGUUUAAUGUCUUGCAGACACACACUGUCUUCAAAAGGCCAAAUAAAUCAGGGUUUUACAUGGGAUCUCAGAGAAAUAAAGAAACCCCAUUCCUAUCUCAGCACCUUUAUUCUACUAGUUUAUAAUCUGCUAAUAUCCCUAUCCAUAGAUCAUUGAGUAUUGACUACUGUACAUAGGUGUCCCCCACAAUUGGUUGACUAUUGGUAAAGACAGAGAAGUUUGUUUGAUAACUGGUGUAUCCUGACCUAGCACCUUUGCUUGCUUUCCCUUUGGGCCCUGUCUAACAACCUUGUGGAAUCUUCUUCUUCCCCAUUUGCAAAAUGAAGACACUCAUUAUUGGAAUCCUACAACUGAAGGGUGCUACAUAACUUUCUAGUGUUCUUUAUAUGUCUUUUAUUGCAGGAAAGAAAUGAAAAGUUUAACCAUAACAGUAUUUCUCAGCAAAUCAGUAUGCCCCAUUCUUCCAUUCUCUCAUUGCUGAAUUGUUCUUGCAGAGCUUAGAGUACUUUAUUAAUAUUCGUCUAUUCAUUCCAACAAUGUCCUUGAAAGAGACAGAAUAUAAAUUAUUUUCUCCAUGGUAUAGCUGGAAAAUGUAAGGGCAAAAGAAAUGAAGUGCCCUCCAAAAAGACAUAGCUGCCUUAAGGCAGAACUCACAGUUAUCUUGUCCAGAGCACUGUCAAAAUGACUUGGUUUCCCAGUACUGGAAUUACCAUGGAGCAGCUUAGAACACUGACAGCAAUUAAGGCACGAUCACAUUUAAAGAGUCCCACUUUGUCUGAAAUCUGGAAGUAUGCAAUUUGUACAACUAUUAUUUUCUAUGUAAUAGAAAUGUAAUAUGUGCCUCUUUCUGACACUGGCCCCAUGUGGCACAUAUAUUUCAUACUACAAAGCAUUAUCCAGUGCCAUUAUCUCCUCUCACACCCAUAGAGCCCAAUCUCAGGGCUGUCUUUGCCAGGAAUAAGAAUGUGCUUCCCCAUGUUUAUGCCAAAUGGCACAAAGUAUAGACAUUGAGGUAAGUGGAGAUUUAAGUACAAUCCUAGCAGGUAUGUUUUAAGAAUAUUGACUAUACAUUAUUGUAACGUGGACCUGUAAUUUAACAUGGCCCAAAUUCACAGGAAUGUAACAGUCAUGCAAAGCCUAUCCCUUUCACCUCUCAUCACACAUGUAUGUCUACAUAUAUGCACACACAUGCACUGCCCCCAAAGCUGGCUGUUUGAUCAUCAGAAGCAAAUACUUUAACAGAAUGGUCCUCUGUCCUCCUCUUUUAGAAAAAAAAUCCAACAGUCACUGCAAAUGAAGAACAUUCCAUUUAUACAUUCUAGAACCUUUGCUCCCAGAGCAGCUAAGGUAUUCAGUAGGUACAAAAGACAUGUUCUGUGCCUAUGAGGCACAGAGGGCAUCUAAUAAGAUUGUUAGACCUUUCUACAAGUCCUACAUUCUUAGAAAAUUCUUAGAAAGUUCCAUAAGAUUGGUAGGAAAUGGUUUAUGAGGUAUGGUACAUCUGCAUUUCUUUAACCAUAGCUGUACUGUGCCUAAUUAAAUUGUCUUUUUUUGCAUGCAGGUGUUAUAUAAAAUACUAAUGGAUGGGUGGUUCCUAGUAGCAUGCAACCUAUGACUGUUUAUUUCCCUUAAAGGGCUAAGGCUGCAGUGUUCAAAACUAUUAAAUGUGCUCUUUGUAGCAGCCUAGUAUACGACCAUCAGCAGAAUGAGGUAAAACAGACAACAAAUGCAAUAUAUCAGAAAAUAGAUUCUUAGUAGGGAAUGGUAUUAAAGGGAAAAUGCAUUCAAGGAAUAAUUGCUGUCACCUUGCUGGCCAAAUCAGCAAGGGGACACAGCAAGAAAACUGGCACUGGGUCUUGGUAAUAUAUGAAAUGUAUUGGAGAGACAGAAAAAGAAAGGCAGUGGGGAACCUCUUCAGUUAAGCUUAAGUUGCCAAUUUACUACAAAUCCUUUUUUCCACCAAUCUGUUCAAAGUGAUUAUAUAUAAUAUUCUUAAAACCAUGUGUCUUGCUACAGAAGUAUCCACAAAUACUGACCAACUUUAUCUCCCUGUAUAUUUUAUUAAAAGUAUAUGCAUAAAAUUGUCACAUAUAUUAUGGUUUUGUUAAACAAUAUUAGCAAAGCCUAAAAUUUCAGACCACUUUGAUGGAAAUUUCUAUACAUCUCAUUUUAUGGGGAUAUAGUGGAGCUUAUUCACUCCUAGGUUGAUUGGUAUGUGUGACAUGUAGACUCCUCUGUAACAUAUCUUCCAAAAAAACCCCUCCCUGUAAUCAGUAUUUCUUUCUUAUGUUCUUACAUGUAUGUGAGUUGGGAUAUUAGCAUCAAUGGUUUUUAGAUAGAAAGCUGACUAGUCUAAUGGUACUUAAUCAUGUUCAUUUUCUGCUCAGCCUUACACAUCUCUUGCCUUUCCCUCUGUUAUUACAAUAAAUAAAAAGUAAAAGAAAGAAAGAACAUAUGUGCCUAAGGGCCAUAUGAACUCUGGUUUGCUUUUUUCUUCACUGAAGACUGUGUUUAUUAUUCUUCAGAUACA